ACAAGAAUUUUUUUUCUGAGCUUCCUUGUAAUGCAUAAUCUCAACUGGCAGAGCCAUUAAUCGGAGAAAAACGAACAAAACCGAACCACGCCGAAAAGUCUAUCUGACGACUGCGGCUGCGUCGCUUUCAUUUUGUCUACACAACAGCAAAGAUUAUUGAGCGACUCUUCUUCCUUCUGUAUUCAAAUCGACUUAUAUCACUACAAAUGAUGGAGAAACAUUAAGGAUUCCAGAGCCACAUCACCAAACAUCCCGGAAACAGAAACGCAGCGCUGCGAUUGGACCGCACAAGGAAGCGUCUGAAAACUGCAAGAGACAGUUUGAGCUGCAUUACUGUACACCAAGGCACCAUCAACAAGUAAAAAAACGUAUAAUCAUGGUUGUUUGGAGGAGAUAAUAGAAACCAAAAACAUUCUCAUUUUCAGGUUUGGAAUUGCAUAAUGGUUCGAAACACAAUGGGACGACAUGAAUUAAAGGUGAAUGCGAUUAUUAAUUAUGGAAAACAGCUUGGACGAAGUCUGCUUCUAUUGGCACACUACACCACUGUGUUUAUAAGCUUCAUAUCUCGCUCUGUGAACGGUUUUGUGGAAGUGAUCAAAUGGACAACGAUGUUUGCAAGAUACACAGUAGUGGUGUUUGAAUCCAUUCAUAGGAGGCUCAGCUGGUGGACCAGAAGACGCAUUAGGACAUCCAUAGAGACGAUCUCCAGCAGCGACACAGAGUCAGAAUGAUGAGCAAUUCAACAUGGAUUCAAAGUUUAACUUUCAUUUAGUAUCCAUUAACUCAAACCUCAAGUGAUUCCAAGUCUGUUUUCUGUUGAACACUGUUGAGGUGAGUAAAUGGUGAUAUCAAUUUAUUUUUAUUAUUCAUUUAUAUUUUAAAACACACAAAGAGAACAAUAGGCCUACAUGCAAAAUUUUGUAUUAGAAUGUUGCAGUCUGAAGUUUUGGAUCAUUACAAUGAGCUUAUUGUAAGCCCUGAGGUCUAGACGAUAUGGUAAAGUCCGCCACUGUGUCAGAACCACACCUGAUAGACUAAAGACUGAACACAACACCUGUUUUUCAGGUCCAUAACCAGUAUUUGACUGGGAGGAAACAAAGCAGACAACUUCAAUAAAUAUAUCUAAUUUCAUUUUACCUAAGAGUUUAUCCUAAGCUGUUGCUUUUUGCCCUUGGUAAAUAUUUUUAAAUCAUUACAUUUCCAUUGAAUGCAAUCUAGCUGUCAUGAACAGUCAAAUCAUUAUUUUUAGCAGUUAUUUAUAUUUUACAAGUUUUAUUUAACAUAUGUGGGGAAUAUGUGGUUGUAUUACAUAUGUCCUGCAAAAAACUGGGCAUUUGAAUAAUCAGUAAAAAAAAAAUAAAUAAAUAAUAAUAAGCAAGUCUGUGUAGAUAGGUGUAUUAUUUUUGUGGAAUAACCUGAAUAAAUCCAGCUUUAAUAUGAGAUGAUUUAAUAGAUUUCACAUAAGUCAGUUUAAUUUACAUUUCGCAUGUGUGAGCAAUGUUUUUAAAUCAGAUUCUAUAAUUUUUUUUAAAAAAGUUUUCAUAAUUUUACAUUUGUUAUCAUUAUUAUUAGUAGUAGUAGUAGUAGUAUUAGUAGUACUGCUUAAACUAAACCAACAUAUAAGAAUCAUCCUGUGGCAACUGACUGAAUGAGGGACCUAUUUUAUUUUAUUUUUUAAGUUAUUGCAUUCCCAUUUGCAAACUUAAAAAAACCAAUAACAUAAUAUAAUAAAUAAAAUUAAGAUUAGAUAGAUUAAUUAAGUAAUUACUGUAGUUGUUUUUAAAAGGUAAAUGUCAGUCAGCUGUUGUUCAUUUUAGCAGCUGAUUUAAUUUUUUCGAAAUGUAAUGACAAGGUAAUACACAUUUAGGUGAUGUAAAAGUAUAGGAAAUAUGUUGCUAGAUUUAUGAUGGUUAGCAACUUUGGAAACGCACCAUUUCAGUCUGGACUGUUGUCUAGUAUUUUCUAAUAGGCAGAUGUGACUUUAUGUGCCAGUAUACCACAUAUUAGGCAGUCAAAUUUGGAAUAUUUAUUAUUACAUUAAAGAUCCUCCUGACUGUUAAAAGUGUUGAAGUUUCCCUGUAAUGAAACUCUCUGGAAUUAUGAAGUAUGUGUUUAAAAUCAGUAUUAAUCUUUAUGCCUCAAGAUAAUAACACUGUGUUCUGAGAACAAACCACUGUCUUGUUCACAUUUCUAAAAACUU